rnacentral:rRNA from 1 species
UACGGGGGGGGCAAGCGUUGUUCGGAAUUACUGGGCGUAAAGGGCUCGUAGGCGGCCAACUAAGUCAGACGUGAAAUCCCUCGGCUCAACCGUGGAAGUGCCUUUGAUACUGGUGGUCUGGAGUGGGGUAGGGGCAUGCGGAACUGGUGGUGGAGCGGUGAAAUGCGUAGAUAUCACUAGGAACGCCGGUGGCGAAAGCGGCGUGCUGGACCCCAACUGACGCUGAGGCGCGAAAGCCAGGGGAGCAAACGGG